rnacentral:rRNA from 1 species
UACGAGGGGGGCAAGCGUUGUUCGGAAUUAUUGGGCGUAAAGGGCGCGUAGGCGGUUUGACAAGUCUGAUGUGAGAUCUCUGGGCUCAACCCAGGGUCUGCAUUAGAAACUGUCGGGCUUGAGUAUGGGAGAGGUGAGUGGAAUUUCCGGUGUAGCGGUGAAAUGCGUAGAGAUCCGGAGGAACACCGAAGGCGAAGGCAGUGUCCUGGCGCGUAACUGACGCUGAGGUGCGAAAGCCAGGGGAGCGAACGGG